rnacentral:rRNA from 1 species
GAUAAACGCUGGCGGCGCACAUAAGACAUGCAAGUCGAACGGACUUAACUCAUUCUUUUAGAUUGAGAGCGGUUAGUGGCGGACUGGUGAGUAACACGUAAGCAACCUGCCUAUUAGAGGGGAAUAACAGUUAGAAAUGACUGCUAAUAUCGCAUAUGCCUAAGUAUCGCAUGAUACAAUAGGGAAAGGAGUAAUCCGCUGAUAGAUGGGCUUGCGUCUGAUUAGCUAGUUGGUGGGGUAACGGCCUACCAAGGCGACGAUCAGUAGCCGGACUGAGAGGUUGAACGGCCACAUUGGGACUGAGACACGGCCCAG